rnacentral:rRNA from 1 species
UAGGGAAUCUUCGGCAAUGGACGAAAGUCUGACCGAGCAACGCCGCGUGAGUGAAGAAGGUUUUCGGAUCGUAAAACUCUGUUGUUAGAGAAGAACAAGGACGUUAGUAACUGAAUGUCCCCUGACGGUAUCUAACCAGAAAGCCACGGCUAACUACGUGCCAGCAGCCGCGGUAAUACGUAGGUGGCAAGCGUUGUCCGGAUUUAUUGGGCGUAAAGCGAGCGCAGGCGGUUUCUUAAGUCUGAUGUGAAAGCCCCCGGCUCAACCGGGGAGGGUCAUUGGAAACUGGGAGACUUGAGUGCAGAAGAGGAGAGUGGAAUUCCAUAUGUAGCGGUGAAAUGCGUAGAUAUAUGGCGGAACACCAGUGGCGAAGGCGGCUCUCUAGUCUGUAACUGACGCUGAGGCUCGAAAGCGUGGGGAGCAAACAGG